rnacentral:rRNA from 1 species
GGGCCCGCACAAGCGGUGGAGUAUGUGGUUUAAUUCGAUGCAACGCGAAAAACCUUACCAGGUCUUGACAUCCCUUGCAAUGCUGUAGAGAUACAGUGGAGGUUAUCAAGGAGACAGGUGGUGCAUGGUUGUCGUCAGCUCGUGUCGUGAGAUGUUGGGUUAAGUCCCGCAACGAGCGCAACCCUUAUUGCUAGUUGCCAUCAUUUAGUUGGGGACUCUAGCGAGACUGCCAGUGAUAAACUGGAGGAAGGUGGGGAUGACGUCAAAUCAUCAUGCCCCUUAUGACCUGGGCUACAAACGUGAUACAAUGCUACGGACAAAGGGCAGCAAGUUCGCGAGGACAAGCAAAUCCCAUAAACCGUGGCUCAGUUCAGAUCGUAGGCUGCAACUCGCCUACGUGAAGGCGGAAUCGCUAGUAAUCGCAGGU